rnacentral:rRNA from 1 species
UACGUAGGUGGCAAGCGUUGUCCGGAUUUACUGGGCGUAAAGGAUGCGUAGGCGGAUGUUUAAGUGAGAUGUGAAAUACCCGAGCUCAACUUGGGUGCUGCAUUUCAAACUGGAUAUCUAGAGUGCAGGAGAGGAAAGCGGAAUUCCUAGUGUAGCGGUGAAAUGCGUAGAGAUUAGGAAGAACACCCGUGGCGAAGGCGGCUCUCUGGGACGGUACUGACGCUGAGACGCGAAAGCGUGGGGAGCGAACAGG